GAUGAAGAACGCAGUGAAAUGCGAUAAGUAAUGUGAAUUGCAGAAUUCAGUGAAUCAUCGAAUCUUUGAACGCACCUUGCGCUCCUUGGUAUUCCGAGGAGCAUGCCUGUUUGAGUGUCAUUAAUAUAUCAACCUCUUCAGCUUAUGCUUGUUGAGUGUUGGAUGGUGGGGGUUUGCUGGUGUCUUAUGAAGUCAGCUCCUCUGAAAUGCAUUAGCGGAACAAUUUGUUGACCGUUCAUUGGUGUGAUAAAAAUAUCUACGCUAUUGACGUCAGUCAGUUCAGCUUCUAACAGUCCAUUGACUUGGACAAAUUUUUCAUUAAUGUGACCUCAAAUCAGGUAGGACUACCCGCUGAACUUAAGCAUAUCAAUAAGCGGAGGA
rnacentral:misc_RNA from 1 species